rnacentral:misc_RNA from 1 species
GAAAUGCGAUAAGUAAUGUGAAUUGCAGAAUUCAGUGAAUCAUCGAAUCUUUGAACGCACAUUGCGCCCCCUGGUAUUCCGGGGGGCAUGCCUGUUCGAGCGUCAUUUCACCACUCAAGCCUCGCUUGGUAUUGGGCGACGCGGUCCGCCGCGCGCCUCAAAUCGACCGGCUGGGUCUUUCGUCCCCUCAGCGUUGUGGAAACUAUUCGCUAAAGGGUGCCGCGGGAGACCACGCCGUAAAACAACCCCAUUUCUAAGGUUGACCUCGGAUCAGGUAGGGAUACCCGCUGAACUUAAGC